CGCUACGGACUUAAAUCCGUCGACUUUAGAAAUCGUGAGGGUUCAAGUCCCUCUAUCCCCA
rnacentral:tRNA from 4 species